UGCUUGUCUUGCAGGAAUGACCUGAAUCAUAUUACCCUGAAGCCUGACAAGUCAUUUCUGAAAUAGGUUUUUGGUAGGGUGAGGAAGCUUCAAAUAAUUUUGCUUGUCUUUCCUGUUAAGGAAACCAAGGAAAGCAGUUUGUCUCUAACAUUUUCACCUUUUCUAUUCUUACAUUAAUUUCUCAUAUUUUUGGUGUGAUUGAGUAUUUAUUGGUGUGUGUGUGUGUGUGUGCAUGCAUUCAUGUGUGUGUGUGUGUGUGUGUGUGUGUGUGUGUGUGUGUCUGUGUGUGUAUAGUGUGAAGGUGUGCUGGCAGUAACAUAAACAUAGAGAGGAGAGUAUGGUGGGCUUUAAUUACUCCCUCGAGGUUUUCCGUGUUGAAAACUUCCUGUGUUCCCUGUUACUCUUCGACAGGACCCAAUUUCCUUUUGUAUUUUCAGUUUUCAGAGACUAGACAAGCUAAGAGCAAAGCCACGUGAUCGCAGGCUGGCCGACCUCCGCUCGUCACCGUUUCCUCUCCUUUCUACCCUCUGCUCCACUUCUGGCUACUUCCUUCAGAUAAGAAGCUGAAUCAUCCCACAGGAAGAGCAAGAUGUCAUGCUGUUUCAUGUAGCUCCCAGCGCUCAGGAGACCUGUGGUGGUACACUGUGACUGUUCAGGAAUAUUCUUUGCUCCUCCAACGGUCUGCCCCACUGCACAGAAGUCAAUUUUUCAUUUGACAACCCAGACCACUUGUGAGAGAACUCUUCAUCUGUCUGGGAUCUGAGGAGUUGUGCCCCGAGGCUGGGUACCUAACUUAGUUCAGACGGUCUUUGUCUGAAGAGGUCACAUGUAAUUAAUGGGACAUACCCUGCAUCUAUUUAAGUUGACAUCAUGAUAGCCUUGGCCAAGGCUUUAUAAUUCAGAAGAUACCAUGAAACAUUUUGGUCAACAAGACUGGAGAAAGGUAUCUGCUCAAGACCUUUAUGGAGGCUGUGGAGUCCACUAAAGGAAGAAGACUUGGAGAGAGAGAACAAAUUUAAAUGCAGGCAAAGUUCCUUCUUGUUACGGGAAAUGGCUGUAGGGUCUGGAGACUUGAGUCUUUGCCACAUCCCAGACACUGUUUAGACCACACUGUUAACCUUUUACAGUCUAGGCCUCUUCAUUGCUCAGGUUAAUUUUUCCAAGAGAAUUACUUCAAUUAUUUCUAUUGCCUGAAAGACUAUUUUUCACUGAAUAAAUAUAUCCUCUCUCUCUCUCUCUCUCUCUCUCUCUCUCUCUCUCUCUCUCUCUCUCUCUGUGUGUGUGAAUGCACAUGCAUGUUAGUGUUCUCUAGAGGUGUGUGUGUGUGUGUGUGUGUGUGUGUGUGUGUGUGUGUGUCGGUAAAUGUACAUGCAUGUUGGGAUUCUCUAGAGGAACCAAACUGAUAGAAUUAGUCUUUGUAUAUUAAGAAGCAAUUUAUUUGAUGAUACAGUCCUCAUAGUUCUAUUGUGGCUAUCUUUACACUGGAUGAACUAACCUGGUAACUGUUCUGUCCCUAAGUCUGGAUCCCUCAGAAGUCCCAGUUUGGUACUGAAUGCCUAGAGGAUUCCAGAAAGACCACUGGUUUUCACUCCACAUUCGAAUCCUGAGGAAGCUGGCUUCUGAUAUUACCAACAGCAGAAGCAGGCAGCAGCAGGGUAGUUGAAUGUUCCAGGAAGAUGAAGACCAGCAGACGAAAGUCUCCUUUUACCUGGGCUGCCACUGGAUGGUGCCCACCUUUAGGCACAUCAAUUAACUCAGUGGAAAAAGUCCCUUGUCUCUUGUCUUAUUCUACACCCAGUCAAGGUGACAACCAAGAUGUGCCCUCAGAGUGUGCUUGGGGUGAGGGACUGAUUUAAGGGAUUUAUUAGGGCAAUGGGCUUGCAGUGAGUUGGAGGCUGAGCUCUGCCAGAACUGACCAUCUAAAACCUUUCCUACAGUCUAAGUUGAGAAGUCAAAACCAGGGAGGAUGCUGGUGCACCUCUACUCUUACAACAUAGCUAAAGACUCAAGAGGCUGAGGAAACACAGGUAAAAUGUCCGGAGAUCCAGAGCUGAAAUGUGCGGGACUGUCUAACAGCAGAAGAAGGUCCAGGCCCUGAAAGGAUUCUUCCAGCAGCCUCCAGGACGGUUAAUCUUAUUUGUCACCUUAACUGGGUUGCAGACUGGUUAACAUUCCUGAGUGUGCUUGUGAUGGGACUUCCAGAAGAAGUUAGUGUUUGAGUCACUAGACUAGGGACAUCGUUGGAUCUUACCUGACACAGGUGGUUAUCAUCUCACUUAAAUAGAGGCCUGGAUAGAACAGAAGGACAGACGAGUGAAUUCUCUCUCUUUGCAUUAACAAUGAGCUUAGAUACUGACCUUUUCUUAAAUGUGGAUCACAGUUUCUUUACUUUGUACACAGAUUAUGGGAAUCACCUUCAGUGAUACCACAAGCCAAUUUUAUAAUGACUGCUUAUCAUCUAUCUAUCUAUCUAUCUAUCUAUCUAUCUAUCUAUCUAUCAUCUAUUUACAUAUCUAUAAUAUCUAUCUAAUCAUCUAAGUAUCUAAUCUAUCACUGUAUAUCAAUAAUAUAUCAUCUAUUUAUCUAAUCAUCUAUCUACUAUCUAAUCUAUCAUCUA